rnacentral:rRNA from 1 species
CGGCAACAGCUCAGAUUUGAAACCUGCCAACCGGCCGGAUUGUAGUCUGCAGAGGAGUGUUCGGCAGAGGUGACGGUCCAAGUCUCCUGGAACGGAGCGCCUGAGAGGGUGAGAGCCCCGUACAUGAUCGUGUGCCGAAGCCGU